GGUAUGUAGCUUAGUGGUAGAGUGCCUACUUAACAUAUGCAAAAAGCCCUGGGUUCAAUCCCCAGCAUCACCA
rnacentral:tRNA from 1 species